GACGAACGCUGGCGGCGUGCUUAACACAUGCAAGUCGAACGGUAAGGCCCUUCGGGGUACACGAGUGGCGAACGGGUGAGUAACACGUGGGUGAUCUGCCCUGCACUUCGGGAUAAGCCUGGGAAACUGGGUCUAAUACCGGAUAGGACCACUGCCUGCAUGGGUGGUGGUGGAAAGCUUCUGCGGUGUGGGAUGGGCCCGCGGCCUAUCAGCUUGUUGGUGGGGUGAUGGCCUACCAAGGCGACGACGGGUAGCCGGCCUGAGAGGGUGACCGGCCACACUGGGACGUAGAUACGGCCCAGACUCCUACGGGAGGCAGCAGUGGGGAAUAUUGCACAAUGGGCGCAAGCCUGAUGCAGCGACGCCGCGUGAGGGAUGACGGCCUUCGGGUUGUAAACCUCUUUCAGCACCGACGAAGCGCAAGUGACGGUAGGUGCAGAAGAAGGACCGGCCAACUACGUGCCAGCAGCCGCGGUAA
rnacentral:rRNA from 1 species